rnacentral:rRNA from 1 species
CCUACGGGAGGCAGCAGUGGGGAAUAUUGGGCAAUGGGCGAAAGCCUGACCCAGCAACGCCGCGUGAAGGAAGAAGGCUUUCGGAUUGUAAACUUCUUUUGUCAGGGACGAAGCAAGUGACAGUACCUGACGAAUAAACCACGGCUAACUACGUGCCAGGAGCCGCGGUAAUACGUAGGUUGCAAGCGUUAUCCGGAUUUACUGGGUGUAAAGGGCGUGUAGGCGGGACUGCAAGUCAGAUUUGAAAACCACGGGCUCAAACUGUGGCCUGCAUUUGAAACUGUAGUUCUUGAGUACUGGAGAGGCAGACGGAAUUCCUAGUGUAGCGGUGAAAUGCGUAGAUAUUAGGAAGAACACCAGUGGCGAAGGCGGUCUACUGGAC